rnacentral:rRNA from 1 species
CGUCUAUAUACGUAUAGCAUAUCAAUAAGCGGAGGAAAAGAAACUAACUAGGAUUCCCUCAGUAACGGCGAGUGAAGCGGGAAGAGCUCAAAUUUGAAAUCUUCAAGGUUCUACCUUGACGAAUUGUAGUUUAAAGAAGUGUUUUCUGUUGGAAUUUUGGUAAAAGUUCUUUGGAAAUAGGACAUCAAUAGAGGGUGAGAAUCCCGUAUUUGACCAUUAUUUCCAGCUUUGUGAUACACUUUCAAAGAGUCGGAUUGUUUGGGAAUGCAGUCCAAAAUGGGUGGUAAAUUUCAUCUAAAGCUAAAUACUGGCGAGAGACCGAUAGCGAACAAGUACCGUGAGAGAAAGAUGAAAAGAACUUUGAAAAGAGAGUUAAACAGUACGUGAAAUUGUCAAAAGGGAAGCGUUUGACACCAGUGUUGUUUUCUCGAAAAUCAAUUAAAAAUGGCUGGGAUUUUGUGUUGUAUUGACUUUAUCAGCUUUCUGCACUUUUUUCCUGUCUUUUUUAAUGCACUUUUCGUUUAACAAGUCAACAUCAAUUUCUUUUGUUGUAAAAGAGGUCAUUGGAAGGUGGCUUUCUUUUCGGAGAAAGUGUUUAUAGCCUUUGACUUCUGCAAUCGGAGAGAUUGAGGUCUGCAGCGUAGAUCCUUCGGGGUUAGAUAGCAUUUGUGCUAAGUUAUAGCCUUUCAUAGACAACUUGUUGACUAUGAUCAGUCAUGUAGCUUACUCGCUUAUGCUAUUUUACCUACGCUUAGGAUGUUGACGAUCAGCUGAGCGCG